rnacentral:sRNA from 1 species
UGCCAUGUUUUCUAGGGUUCCGCGAUGCAAUCAUCGGUCUGGUCCAAGGGAAAACCACGGCAUUGCCGUGUCACGGAGGGAUAAAAGCCCGGGAGAU